rnacentral:rRNA from 1 species
CGUCUAUAUACGUAUAGCAUAUCAAUAAGCGGAGGAAAAGAAACUAACAUAGGAUUCCCUCAGUAACGGCGAGUGAAGCGGGAAGAGCUCAAAUUUGAAAUCUUCAAGGUUUUACCUUGACGAAUUGUAGUUUAAAGAAGUGUUUUCUGUUAGAGUUUGAGUAGCAAAAGUUCUUUGGAAAUGGGACAUCAUAGAGGGUGAGAAUCCCGUAUUUGGACUCAUUAUCUCCAGCUUUGUGAUACACUUUCAAAGAGUCGGAUUGUUUGGGAAUGCAGUCCAAAAUGGGUGGUAAAUUUCAUCUAAAGCUAAAUACUGGCGAGAGACCGAUAGCGAACAAGUACCGUGAGGGAAAGAUGAAAAGAACUUUGAAAAGAGAGUUAAACAGUACGUGAAAUUGUCAAAAGGGAAGCGUUUGACACCAGUGUUGUUUUUCUCGAAAAUCAAUUAAGAAUGGCCUGAUUUUGUGUUGUAUUGACCUUAUCAGCUUUCUGCACUUUUUUCUGAGUCUUUUUUAAUGCACUUUUCGGUUAACAAGUCAACAUCAAUUUCUUUUGUUGUAAAAGAGGUCAUUCGGAAGGUGGCUUUCUUUUCGGAGAAAGUGUUUAUAGCCCUUAUGCCUCUACAAUCGGAGAGAUUGAGGUCUGCAGCGUAGAUCCUUCGGGGUUAGAUACACUUUGUGCUAAGUUGUAGCUUUUCAUAGACAACUUGUUGACUAUGUUUAGUCAUGCGGCUUACUCGCUUAGUGCUAUUUUACCUACGCUUAGGAUGUUGACUGAUAUGUAGUCGUA